AUGCUACAGUGCUGCAUCACCCUUUCCUCUUCAAGGAAAACCAACGCAAGCUCAAGACGUAGCAAGAAGAAUUUCUCGCGCCGUUGUCGGGGAGGUCUUCGCUCAAGUCAAGACAUACCAAGUACCCAUCACAAACUCAUCUCCCUCGUGUUUACAUUAUUUGCCAUUUCCCUCUCGUUUUCCUCUCCCCCACUUCACCCUUGCCAUUUUAUUCGCCCUUUUUCCGUUUGUCUUUUCAUUUUCUUUAAUGUCCUACUUGGCUCGUUUGCUCGUUUGGUUGGAAUAGUUGUUUAUUUAUUGCUAAACAAAGAACUGAAGAUCUAUGGAUCCUCAUCGCUUGCUAAUCUUUUUAAGAGAUCCAAUUAUGAUGAACCAAUUGCUAGUGAGUUUUGUGCACUAGAUUAUCUUUAUGAAGCUUUGCUAAAAAUUUGUGAAUCUGAAAAUUAUGAUGAUGAAAUUUAUGAAGAGAUUCACGAUAACUCCUUGAAUAAAAAGCAUAAUUGCAAUGAUUUUCCUAUAAAUUCUCUUGAUAUCAAUUGUGCUAAUAAUAUGCAAAACCCUAAGCUUGGGGAUGCUAGUUCUGCUAUGUCUACUACUUGUUUCAAUGAUCAUGAUUGGGGUGAUUCUUCUUAUAACCUUGAAAAUUUAUUUAAGCCCCAUGAUGAAUAUGAGAUUGAUAAUAGUGUUUGCAAUAAUAUUGAAAGUGGGUUUGGAAGAGUGUCAACUUUAUAUCCCACAUAUUUGGAGUAUGUUCAAUCUUAUGAUAUUUUUGAUAAAAGUGGGUUCGGAAAAGUCAUGACUUUAGUUAAUGUUAAUCCCACUAUCUUGGAAGAGUGUCAACUUUGCAUGCAUGUGGAUCGUGUUGAGAAUAUGUUUUGUGAUAGCUAUUUUGUUGCAUUUGCCUAUGAUCCUACAUGUAAUUAUUAUGAGAGAGGAAAAUAUGGUCGUAGAAAUUUUUAUCUUAUUAAAUUACCUCUCGUCAUGUUGAGAUUGCUAUCGUCCCUUUCUUCUUCCUUGCAUAUGCUAGUUCUUGCUUGCCUUGCAAAUUUGUUUGAUUAUAAUAUGCCUAUGCAUAGGAAGUAUGUUAUACUUAGAUGUGUUUGUCACGUGUUUCAUGAUGCUCUCUUUAUGCUUCAAUUCUUGUCUUUCAUGUGA
rnacentral:rRNA from 1 species